rnacentral:rRNA from 1 species
UACAGAGGUGCCAAGCGUUAGGCGGAAUCACUGGGCUUAAAGCGUGUGUAGGCGGAUGCCUAAGUACCUUGUGAAAUCCCACGGCUUAACCGUGGAACUGCUUGGUAUACUGGGUGUCUUGAGCCACUUAGGGGCGACCGGAACAAACGGUGGAGCGGUGAAAUGCGUAGAUAUCGGGAGGAACACCUGUGGCGAAGGCGGCCCCCUGGUCGGAUACUGACGCUGAGGCACGAAAGCGUGGGGAGCAAACAGG